rnacentral:rRNA from 1 species
UGAAAUGCGUAGAGAUCUGGAGGAAUACCGGUGGCGAAGGCGGCCUCCUGGACACAGACUGACGCUCAGGUGCGAAAGCGUGGCGAGCAAACAGGAUUAGAUACCCUGGUAGUCCACGCCGUAAACGAUGUCGACUUGGAGGUUGUUCCCUUGAGGCGUGGCUUCCGGAGCUAACGCGUUAAGUCGACCGCCUGGGGAGUACGGCCGCAAGGUUAAAACUCAAAUGAAUUGACGGGGGCCCGCACAAGCGGUGGAGCAUGUGGUUUAAUUCGAUGCAACGCGAAGAACCUUACCUACUCUUGACAUCCAGAGAACUUAGCAGAGAUGCUUUGGUGCCUUCGGGAACUGUGAGACAGGUGCUGCAUGGCUGUCGUCAGCUCGUGUUGUGAAAUGUUGGGUUAAGUCCCGCAACGAGCGCAACCCUUAUCCUUUGUUGCCAGCGGUUCGGCCGGGAACUCAAAGGAGACUGCCAGUGAUAAACUGGAGGAAGGUGGGGAUGACGUCAAGUCAUCAUGGCCCUUACGAGUAGGGCUACACACGUGCUACAAUGGCGCAUACAAAGAGAAGCGACCUCGCGAGAGCAAGCGGACCUCAUAAAGUGCGUCGUAGUCCGGAUUGGAGUCUGCAACUCGACUCCAUGAAGUCGGAAUCGCUAGUAAUCGUGGAUCAGAAUGCCACGGUGAAUACGUUCCCGGGCCUUGUACACACCGCCCGUCACACCAUGGGAGUGGGUUGCAAAAGAAGUAGGUAGCUUAACCUUCGGGAGGGCG